rnacentral:lncRNA from 1 species
GCAGCAAGAAAAUUAACAGAGGGAUCCUCACGUUCACCCUCAAAAGUUUAUCUGGAAUCCACCAGAAAAUGAGAGAAAGUCUCAAAACUGUAUUUAAUAUUUGGAAUACAAAAGUGAGAGUAAGGCAACGCUUACGUUGUGUAUUUAUUCUACUUGAAACAUGCAUGAUUAAUUAUACCUAUUGAAUGCCAUUUAAAUCUCAGCGUACAAUACUCAUGACCUUUUCGUCUUCACUGUGCACCUAUCAAUUUAUGUUUUAAAUUCCCCUGCCAAGCGUUCUGCAUCAACAGACUCCUCCACUUUGAAAGAACUCGCCUCUGAGUUAUCUUCAGAAUAAAGAGCUUCAUCUUCAUGAUACUCAUACAAAUCUGUAACAUUAAACGUGCUUGAAAUUCCCAUAGAUGCAGGCAGGUCAAUAACAUAGGCAUUAUCAUUGAUCUUCCUUAAAAUCUUAUAAGGUCCAUACUUGCGUGGCUUCAGCUUGUUGUAGGUUCCAACAGGGAAUCGCUCCUUUCUGAGAAAAACCAUCACAUAAUUUCCUUCAUUGAAAACUUUAGCACGCCUAUGCUUGUCUGCAGCAACUUUGUACCUAGCAUUGAUUUUUUCCAGCUUAUCUCGCACUUCUUCUUUAACCUCAAUAACGUCUUUAGCCAUAUGCUGAGCGCCUAUGCUAACUCCAUGAGCUUUGGGAAGUUUUACCAAGUCAACGGCAUGGUUAGGAACUGAAGUAUAUACCAAAGAGAAAGGAGACUUUCCUGUGGCACUAUGAACUGCGUUAUUGUAAGCAAACUCUACUUGCGGUAAGGCAUUGUCCCACUUCUUUGAUUUAUCAAUACAUACACUUCGAAUCAUGUUGCCACGCGUUCUAUUAGUCACCUCUGUCUGGCCAUCUGUUUGUGGAUGUGUUGUACUGCUACGCUUCAAGGUAGUACCGAAAAGCUUCCAUAGAGUAAUCCAGAAAUGACUCGGAAAUUUGGUGUCACGAUCAGAUGUAAUAGUUUUGAGUACACCAUGCAAACGCACCACCUCCCUGAAAAAUAGUUUAGCUAUAUGAGUAGCGUCAGAAGUCUUUCUACAAGCUAUAAAAUGUGCCAUCUUAAAGAACCUGUCAACCACAACAAACACAGAAUCAACCCCACUUUGGGUUCGAGGAAGCCCCAAUACAAAAUCCAUGGACAAGUCUUGCCAAAUAUCGCUAGGAACCGGUAAAGGCAUAUAAAAUCCAGUAUUUUGAGUUUGUCCCUUUGAAACCUGACAAACAUAGCAGUUUCUCAUAAUUUUGCCAACGUCCUUCUUCAACUGAGGCUAAAAAUAACGUUCCUCAACUCCUGCAAUGGUUUUGUCUCUUCCUAGGUGCCCGCUCAAACCGCCUCCAUGAAUAUCUCGAAUAAGCUUCUCUCGUAAGGAUGAGCUGGGAAUACAUAACCUGUUGCCUUUAAACAAAUACCCUUCUCUCAUGUGGUAGUCUGAAACCGGUUGACUCUGAGCACACUUCACCCAAACUUCUUUGAAAUCAAGAUCAGCUUCAUAUAACUCCUUUAGAAAUUCAAAUCCCACAAUCUCUUGUGCUAAAGUAAUCAACAAGUCUGCUCUCCGACUUAAAGCAUCAGCAACACGAUUGAGAGAACCAGAUUUAUGCUUAAUCACAAAAGGGAACUUCUGAAGGAAAGUGGCCCAUCUGACAUGCAUUUUACUCACACUUUUCUCGCUGUUGAUAAACUUCAAGGCUUCAUGAUCAGUGUAAAGAACAAAUUCUCGUUGCACUAGAUAAUGCUCCCAUUGUUUCAAAGCACGCACAACUGCAUAAAAUUCUUGAUCAUAAGUACUCCACUUUUGACGGGCCUCACUUAAUUUUUCACUGAAGAAUGUCAUUGGUCUUUUUUCUUGAGACAACACAGCUCCCACCCCCAAUCCACUUGCAUCACAUUCGACUUCGAAUAUCUUUUCGAAGUUGGGAAGGGCCAAAACUGGUGCAGUGUUAAGCUUUUCUUUAAUCAACACAAAACUUUUAUCUUGUGCUUCACCCCAAUGAAACUUCCUUUGCUUGAGACAUUCAGUAAUAGGGGCUGCAAGAGUACUAAAGUUUCGUACAAAACGCCUGAAAAAAGUAGCAAGGCCAUGGAAACUACGUAACUCACUUACAGGUUUUGGAGUUGGCCAUUCUCUGAUUGCACGUACUUUGUCCUGAUCCACAUGAAUUCCAUCUUCGCUCACAAUAUACCCCAAAAAUAGCAGUUUAUUUGUAAAGAAUGUGCACUUCUUCAAAUUAAUAUAAAGCUUAUUCUCUUUCAAAACAUCCAGAACCUGUCUUAAUUGCACCAAAUGUUCUUCUUUGUUUUUACUGUAAAUUAGAAUAUCAUCAAAAUACACAACUACAAAUGACCCAGUAAAAGGACGCAAAACCUGGUUCAUGAGUCACAUGAAAGUACUUGGUGCAUUUGAUAAUUCGAAUGGCAUCACCAGCCAUUCAUACAGACCCUCCUUGCUCUUAAAUGCUGUCUUCCAUUCGUCCCCUGGUUUAAUUCGAAUCUGGUGAUAGCCACUGUGCAAAUCAAUUUUUGAAAACACCUUGGAGCCCUCAAGGACAUCCAACAUAUCCUCCAACCGCAGAAUUGGAAAUCUAUAUUUAAUGGUGAUUUUAUUAAUGGCUCUGCUGUCAACACACAUACGCCAGGUGUUAUCCUUUUUUGGCACUAGCAAGACAGGAACUGCACAAGGACUCAUGCUCUCACGAAUAAAUUCUUUUUCCAGCAGCUCUUCGAUCUUCUCCUUCAAGAUCACAUUCUCCUUCGGGCUCAUUCGAUAAUGGGGAAGAUUAGGUAGGCUUGCUCCAGGGACUAAAUCAAUCUGAUGUUGAAUAUCUCGCAUAGGAGGAAGUUGUGCUGGUAAAUCCUCAGAAAUCAAAUCUUCAUACUCACUCAAAAUUUCCUGCACUUCUUUUGGAACGUGACUUGAAACAUCAUUUGUCACCAUAAGCCCCUUAAGAACAAUUGGAUACAUGCAUCCAACUUCUUUAAUAAUGUCUUCAAACUCGUGGCUAUUCCUGGAGAUAGCUAGAAAAUUUGAACUCCCAGCUUGUGGUUUUUCUAAUUUUCCAGAUUGAUCAACAGGAGCAAGUGCAAUUUUAUGAGAACCCCACUCAAAGAUAAACACAUUAUCACACCCUUUGUGGGUAGCAUCAACAUCAAACUGCCAAGGCCUUCAUAGUAAUACAUGGCUGGCAUCCAUAUCAAUUACAUCGCACCAAAUCUCAUGUUUGUAAUGCUUACCAAUAGAAAUAGGAACCCUGCAUGCUUCUGUCACUUUUACUGAUGGCCCUCUCUUCACCCACCCUAACAUAUAAGGAUUCUUAUGCUUCUCUAUUGAAAGUUUUAAAUAAUCAACCAGCUUUUGUGACACAAAAUUUUCACAGCCGCCUCCAUCUACAAUCAAUGUGCACACCUUGUUGUCAACAGAACAUAAGGAACGAAAUAUGUGAUUCCUCUGUCCUUCUUGUUUAGGUGAAAGAAGAGCUCGUUGUAGCACCAUGCUGAGCACUUCGUCUUCUUCAAUAGCAGUACGAUUCAUCAUCAAAUUAACAACCUCAUUAUUAUCUUCAUGUACAAACUCAGCAACAUCAUAAUCAUCAUCAUAAUUUCCACUAUGAUCAUCAGCUUCUUCGGUUCCUUCUACAAGGUUCGCUUGCUUCCGCUUUGGACAGUUAUUUGAUCGGUGGCUAGGCUGGAAACACCUAUAACAGACAUCACCAGUUGCUCUAGCGUAUGGGCCAUGGUUUGGUCUCUGAUUUCGAUUCUGAUUUAUGUCAUUGUUCUGGCUGCUCUCUCCUCUGUAAUUCUGCCCUUUAUAAUUAUUUCUUUGGAUCGGCUGGACCUCUUUCUUCUCCUUGUUAGGAACAUAUGAAUCUGCUGCCUUCCUCGGGUAAUUAUUGUUGUUGCCAUAGUUCAUUUUUUUCUCCUUCUAUUCACGUUCCUUCAGUUCUUUCUCUAACUGUUGUGCCUUCAUAGCCAUAUUUUGAGCCUCAUGGACGUCCCAGAAAACUUGUAACCCGAUUCUAUCCUGUAUUGAUGUCGUCAAUCCAUUGACAUAUCUUGAUACCGUCUGCCCCUGAGUCUCAUUCAACGAAUUUCUCUCUGCCAACCGUAAGAAAUCAUCAGUAUAAUCCUCUACUGUCCUGCUUCCCUCGGUACAAUUAUGGUAGAGGCGAUAGAGAUGCUGCUCAUAAUCUACUGAAAGGAAACGGUCCAUCAUCAAUUGUUUCAUCCUUCGCCAUGUCCUGACCGGUUGUUUGGCCUGUCUCUGUCGUGACUUCUGCAAAUUAUCCCACCAUACAGCUGCACUCCCUUUUAAGCAAAAAGUCGUUAUCUUAGUCAUCCUCUCUUCUGGUACUAACAUAAUCUCAAAAAAUCUCUCUACCUCCAUAAGCCAAUCUAAAAAUGCUUCAAUGGAUAGAUGACCAUUAAAAUAAGGGAUGUCGGCCUUCAUCCGAUAAUCUUCAAUGGGUUGUCGAUUAUUUAGAUUAGCAGCAAAUGCGUUCUCGGGAUGUUCCAUCUCCUCCUCAGAAUUCGAUUCAAUCUCCUCCCGUUGACGACGACCAUCACGGUUGCCUCUGCCUCCACCACGUUGGUUAUCUCGUUCAUUGUUGUUGUUGUUGUUGUUUCCCAUGUUGAGAAGCAAUUGCCGAAUCUCUUCAACGCUCGUAGCAAGAGCGUCAAACUCUCUCCUGGAAACUGGUUCCCCACCAGGAAGGGGUCGAUCAUUGUUCGGGUCAUUCGCCAUCGAGCCAAGGCAAACCUGCUCUGAUACCAAUUGACGCAGCAAGAAAAUUAACAGAGGGAUCCUCACGUUCACCCUCAAAAGUUUAUCUGGAAUCCACCAGAAAAUGAGAGAAAGUCUCAAAACUGUAUUUAAUAUUUGGAAUACAAAAGUGAGAGUAAGGCAACGCUUACGUUGUGUAUUUAUUCUACUUGAAACAUGCAUGAUUAAUUAUACCUAUUGAAUGCCAUUUAAAUCUCAGCGUACAAUACUCAUGACCUUUUCGUCUUCACUGUGCACCUAUCAAUUUGUGUUUUAAAUUCCCCUACCAAGCGUUCUGCAUC